rnacentral:rRNA from 1 species
UUAAGCGACUAAGCGUACACGGUGGAUGCCCUGGCAGUCAGAGGCGAUGAAGGACGUGCUAAUCUGCGAAAAGCGUCGGUAAGGUGAUAUGAACCGUUAUAGCCGGCGAUGUCCGAAUGGGGAAACCCAGUGCAAUUCGUUGCACUAUCGUUAACUGAAUACAUAGGUUAACGAGGCGAACCGGGGGAACUGAAACAUCUAAGUACCCCGAGGAAAAGAAAUCAACCGAGAUUCCCCCAGUAGCGGCGAGCGAACGGGGAGCAGCCCAGAGUCUGAAUCAGCUUGUGUGUUAGUGGAACGGUCUGGAAAGUCCGACGGUACAGGGUGAUAGUCCCGUACACCAAAAUGCACAGGCUGUGAACUCGAAGAGUAGGGCGGGACACGUGGUAUCCUGUCUGAAUAUGGGGGGACCAUCCUCCAAGGCUAAAUACUCCUGACUGACCGAUAGUGAACCAGUACCGUGAGGGAAAGGCGAAAAGAACCCCGGCGAGGGGAGUGAAAAAGAACCUGAAACCGUGUACGUACAAGCAGUGGGAGCACCUUCGGGUGUGACUGCGUACCUUUUGUAUAAUGGGUCAGCGACUUAUAUUCUGUAGCAAGGUUAACCGUAUAGGGGAGCCGCAGGGAAACCGAGUCUUAACUGGGCGUUAAGUUGCAGGGUAUAGACCCGAAACCCGGUGAUCUAGCCAUGGGCAGGUUGAAGGUUGGGUAACACUAACUGGAGGACCGAACCGACUAAUGUUGAAAAAUUAGCGGAUGACUUGUGGCUGGGGGUGAAAGGCCAAUCAAACCGGGAGAUAGCUGGUUCUCCCCGAAAGCUAUUUAGGUAGCGCCUCGUGAACUCAUCUUCGGGGGUAGAGCACUGUUUCGGCUAGGGGGUCAUCCCGACUUACCAACCCGAUGCAAACUACGAAUACCGAAGAAUGUUAUCACGGGAGACACACGGCGGGUGCUAACGUCCGUCGUGAAGAGGGAAACAACCCAGACCGCCAGCUAAGGUCCCAAAGUCAUGGUUAAGUGGGAAACGAUGUGGGAAGGCACAGACAGCCAGGAUGUUGGCUUAGAAGCAGCCAUCAUUUAAAGAAAGCGUAAUAGCUCACUGGUCGAGUCGGCCUGCGCGGAAGAUGUAACGGGGCUAAACCAUGCACCGAAGCUGCGGCAGCGACACUAUGUGUUGUUGGGUAGGGGAGCGUUCUGUAAGCCUGCGAAGGUGUGCUGUGAGGCAUGCUGGAGGUAUCAGAAGUGCGAAUGCUGACAUAAGUAACGAUAAAGCGGGUGAAAAGCCCGCUCGCCGGAAGACCAAGGGUUCCUGUCCAACGUUAAUCGGGGCAGGGUGAGUCGACCCCUAAGGCGAGGCCGAAAGGCGUAGUCGAUGGGAAACAGGUUAAUAUUCCUGUACUUGGUGUUACUGCGAAGGGGGGGACGGAGAAGGCUAUGUUAGCCGGGCGACGGUUGUCCCGGUUUAAGCAUGUAGGCUGAUUGUCCAGGCAAAUCCGGAUAAUCAAGGCUGAGGUGUGAUGACGAGGCACUACGGUGCUGAAGUAACAAAUGCCCUGCUUCCAGGAAAAGCCUCUAAGCAUCAGGUAACAUCAAAUCGUACCCCAAACCGACACAGGUGGUCAGGUAGAGAAUACCAAGGCGCUUGAGAGAACUCGGGUGAAGGAACUAGGCAAAAUGGUGCCGUAACUUCGGGAGAAGGCACGCUGGUGUGUAGGUGAAGUCCCUGCGGAUGGAGCUGAGACCAGUCGAAGAUACCAGCUGGCUGCAACUGUUUAUUAAAAACACAGCACUGUGCAAACACGAAAGUGGACGUAUACGGUGUGACGCCUGCCCGGUGCCGGAAGGUUAAUUGAUGGGGUUAUCCGUAAGGAGAAGCUCUUGAUCGAAGCCCCGGUAAACGGCGGCCGUAACUAUAACGGUCCUAAGGUAGCGAAAUUCCUUGUCGGGUAAGUUCCGACCUGCACGAAUGGCGUAAUGAUGGCCAGGCUGUCUCCACCCGAGACUCAGUGAAAUUGAACUCGCUGUGAAGAUGCAGUGUACCCGCGGCAAGACGGAAAGACCCCGUGAACCUUUACUAUAGCUUGACACUGAACAUUGAGCCUUGAUGUGUAGGAUAGGUGGGAGGCUUUGAAGCGUGGACGCCAGUCUGCGUGGAGCCAACCUUGAAAUACCACCCUUUAAUGUUUGAUGUUCUAACGUUGGCCCCUGACCGGGGUUGCGGACAGUGUCUGGUGGGUAGUUUGACUGGGGCGGUCUCCUCCCAAAGCGUAACGGAGGAGCACGAAGGUUAGCUAAUCCUGGUCGGACAUCAGGAGGUUAGUGCAAUGGCAUAAGCUAGCUUGACUGCGAGCGUGACGGCGCGAGCAGGUGCGAAAGCAGGUCAUAGUGAUCCGGUGGUUCUGAAUGGAAGGGCCAUCGCUCAACGGAUAAAAGGUACUCCGGGGAUAACAGGCUGAUACCGCCCAAGAGUUCAUAUCGACGGCGGUGUUUGGCACCUCGAUGUCGGCUCAUCACAUCCUGGGGCUGAAGUAGGUCCCAAGGGUAUGGCUGUUCGCCAUUUAAAGUGGUACGCGAGCUGGGUUUAGAACGUCGUGAGACAGUUCGGUCCCUAUCUGCCGUGGGCGCUGGAGAAUUGAGGGGGCUGCUCCUAGUACGAGAGGACCGGAGUGGACGCAUCACUGGUGUUCGGGUUGUCAUGCCAAUGGCACUGCCCGGUAGCUAAAUGCGGAAGAGAUAAGUGCUGAAAGCAUCUAAGCACGAAACUUGCCCCGAGAUGAGUUCUCCCUGAGACUUUAAGUCUCCUGAAGGAACGUUAAAGACGAUGACGUUGAUAGGCCGGGUGUGUAAGCGCAGCGAUGCGUUGAGCUAACCGGUACUAAUGAACCGUGAGGCUUAACCUU